UACGAAGGGGGCUAGCGUUGUUCGGAAUUACUGGGCGUAAAGCGCGCGCAGGCGGUUUUUCAAGUCAGUGGUGAAAGCCCGGAGCUCAACUCCGGAAAUGCCAUUGAAACUGUAAAACUUGAGGAUGAGAGAGGUGAGUGGAAUUCCCAGUGUAGAGGUGAAAUGCGUAGAUAUCGGGAGGAACACCUGUGGCGAAAGCGGCGCACUGGACCAUAACUGACGCUGAGGCGCGAAAGCUAGGGGAGCAAACAGG
rnacentral:rRNA from 1 species